UUUUUUUUUUUUUUUUUUAAAUGUUAUCAUUUUGUUGCACAACUAGCUUAGUUUUCCUAUAAAAUGUCUCAUGUUCUAGACAUGUCUGUUUGCUUCCUUGCGGUGUCAUUAACAAGCUUCUUUAUCCACCAUAAAGUGAAGUUAGCUCUAGAAUAACACUGCUCUGUAAUGAUGGAAAUAGUCUAUUUUCACUAUCAAGUACAAUAGCCACUAGCCAGAUGUGGCUGUUGAGCACUUUAAAUGUGGCUAGUAUGAGUGAGGAACUGAAUUUUAAAUUUUAUUUCAUUUUAGAUAAUUUAAAUUUAGCCACCUGUGGCUUCCUUAUUAGACUGUGAAACUCUAGUGGCUUGCUUGCUUGCUUAUUUAUUUAUUUAUUUAUUUAUUUAUUUAUUUAUUUAUUGUCUUUUUGCCUUUCCUAGGGCCACUUCCGCGGUAUAUGGACGUUCCCAGGCUAGGAGUCGAAUCAAAGCUGUAGCCGCCAGCCUACGCCAGAGCCACAGCAAUGCGGGAUCCAAGCCUCAUCUGCAACCUAGACCACAGCUCACGGCAACGCCAGAUCCUUAACCCACUGAGCAAGGCCAGGGAUUGAACCUGCAACCUCAUGGUUCCUAGUUGGAUUCGUUAACCUCUGCGCCACGACGGGAUCUUCUAGUGGCUCAUUUAGAUUCAACUUCAACUUCCUUGACAAAAGUGCUUCAUAGGUGCAUCCUAUAUCACAUACGAAGAAGACGUUAGAUGUCACCUUUAAUAAUGUUAAGGUUGAUCAAUGGCUUCAUAUGGUGACAGGCUGAUCCCCUAAUGUGAAUUUCCCUCAAAGAAUAUGAUUUUAACAUUAAGAUUUUUUUUUUUCCACUGUACAGCAUGGGGACCAAGUUACACAUACAUAUAUACAUUUUUUUUCUUCCCACUGUUCUAUUGCGAUGUAAGUAUCUAGUCAUAGUUCUCAAUAUCUACACAGCUGGAUCUCAUUGUAAAUCCAUUUCAAGAGCAAUAGUUUGCAUCCGAUAACCCCAAGCUCCCAAUCCCUCCCACUCCCUCCCUCUCCCCUCCCGGGCAGCCACAAGUCUGUUCUCCAAGUCCAUGAUUUUCUUUUCUGUGGAAAGGUUCAUCUGUGCCGUAUAUUAGAUUCCAGAUAUGUGAUAUCAUAUGGUAUUUGUCUUUGUCUUUCUGACUUAUUUCGCUCAAGAUGAGAGUCUCUAGUUCCAUCCAUGUUGCUGCAAAUGGCGUUACAUCGUUCUUUUUUAUGGCUGAGUAGUAUUCCAUUGUGUGUAUAUACCACAUCUUCCUAAUCCAAUCGUCUGUCAAUGGACAUUUGGGUUGUUUCCAUGUCUUGGCUAGUGUGAAUAGUGCUGCAAUGAACAUGUGGGUGCCUGUGUCUCUUUUAAGAAGAGUUUUGUCCAGAUGUAUGCCCAAGAGUGGGAUUGUGGGGUGAUAUGGUAGUUCUAUGUAUAGAUUUCUAAGGUAUCUCCAAACUGUUCUCCAUAGUGGUGUACCAGUUUACAUUCCCACCAAUAGUGCAGGAGGGUUCCCUUUUCUCCACAGCCCCUCCAGCACUUGUUAUUUUUGGACUUCUUAGUGAUGGCCAUUCUGACUGGUGUGAGGUGGUAUCUCAUGGUAGUUUUGAUUUGCAUUUCUCUUAUUAUCAGGGAUGUUGAGCAUUUUUUCAUGUGUUUGUUGGCCAUCUGCACAUCUUCCUUGGAGAACAGUCUAUUCAGGUCUUUUGCCCAUUUUUCCAUUGGGUGGUUGGCUUUUUUGCUGGUGAGUUGUAUAAGUUUCUGGUAUAUUCUAGAGAUUUAGCUCUUGUCCGUUGCAUCAUUUGAAACUAUUUUCUUCCAUUCUGUAAGUUGUCUUUUUGUUUUCUUUUUGGUUUCCUUUGCUGUGAAAAAGCUUGUCAGUUUGAUGAGGUCCCAUGGGUUUAUUUUUGCUCUAGUUUCUAUUGCUUUGGGAGACUGACCUGAGAAAAUAUUCAUGAUGUUGAUGUCAGAGUGUUUUGCCUAUGUUCUCUUCCAGGAGUUUGAUGAUGUCUUGUCUUAUAUUUAAGUCUUUCAGCCAUUUGGAGUUUAUUUUUGUGCAUGGUAUGAGGGUGUGUUCUAGUUUCAUUGUUUUGCAUGCAGCUGUCCAGUUUCCCAGCAAUGCUUGCUGAAUAGACUUUCUUUUUCCAAUAUUAUGCUCUUGCAUCCCAAAGAUUAAUUGACCAUAGGUGUCAGGGUUUAUUUCUGGGUUCUCUAUUCUGUUCCAUUGGUCUGUCUGUCUGUUUUGAUACCAGUACCACACUGUUUUGAUGACUGUGGCUUUGUAAUGUUGCCUGAAGUCUGGGAGAGUUAUGCCUCCUGCUUGGUUUUUGUUUCUCAAGAUUACUUUGGCAAUUCUCAGUGUUUUGUAGUUCCAUAUAAAUUUUUGGAUCUUUUGUUCUAGUUCUGUGAAAAAUGUCAUGGUAAUUUGAUAGGGAUUUCAUGGAAUCUGUAGAUUGCUUUGGGUAGUAUGGCCAUUUUUACAAUAUUGAUUUUCCCAAUCCAGGAACAUGGAAUAUCUUUCCAUUUCUUUACAUCUUCUUUAAUUUCUUUGAUUAACGUUUCAUAGUUCUUGGCCUAUAAGUCCUUUACCUCCUUAGUCAGGUGUAUUCCCAGGUAUAUGACUUUUUUGGGGUGCAAUUUUAAAAGAUAUUGUAUUUUUGUAUUCCUUUUCUAAUAUUUCGUUGGUAUACAGAAAUGUGACUGAUUUCUGAAUGUUAAUCUUAUAUCCUGCUACUUUGCUGAAUUUUUAACAUUAAGAUUUUUUGAAAGGAGUUCCCUUGUGGUGCAGUGAGUUAAGGAUCCAGUAUCCUCACUGCUGUGGCUCUGGUCAUUGCUGUGCACAAGUUCAAUCCCUGGCCCAGGAACUUCAACAUGCUGUGGGUGCAACCAAAAAAAAGAAAAGAUUUUUUUUUUAAAUAUAAACUUCAUCUUUACGCAGUUUAUGAGAACCAAGGAAAGAGCCCAUGUAGCUCAUUAUGUUCUUUUGUAUAUUUAUAGUCAAAGUCAGAAAGGUAAAUUUUUUUCCUCUGUAUAUCAGACUGUGAGAAAACUAAGCUGUUAAAGAACAUUUCAGAGAAAGACUUUGAAGAAGGCCAAACAGAAAACAAAAUUAGUUUCUGAGUCUUGAGGCUGGGUCUGCAC
rnacentral:lncRNA from 1 species